rnacentral:rRNA from 1 species
AUUGAACGCUGGCGGAAUGCUUUACGCAUGCAAGUCGAACGGCAGCACGGGGGCAACCCUGGUGGCGAGUGGCGAACGGGUGAGUAAUACAUCGGAACGUGCCCGGUCGUGGGGGAUAACGUAGCGAAAGUUACGCUAAUACCGCAUACGAUCUGAGGAUGAAAGCGGGGGACCUUCGGGCCUCGCGCGAUCGGAGCGGCCGAUGUCAGAUUAGGUAGUUGGUGGGGUAAAGGCCUACCAAGCCGACGAUCUGUAGCUGGUCUGAGAGGACGACCAGCCACACUGGGACUGAGACACGGCCCAGACUCCUACGGGAGGCAGCAGUGGGGAAUUUUGGACAAUGGGCGCAAGCCUGAUCCAGCCAUUCCGCGUGCAGGACGAAGGCCUUCGGGUUGUAAACUGCUUUUGUAUGGAACGAAAAGGCUCUGGCUAAUACCUGGGGCUCAUGACGGUACCAUAAGAAUAAGCACCGGCUAACUACGUG